GACGAACGCUGGCGGCGUGCUUAACACAUGCAAGUCGAGCGGUAAGGCCCUUUUGGGGGUACACGAGCGGCGAACGGGUGAGUAACACGUGGGUGACCUGCCCUCAGCUCUGGGAUAAGCCUGGGAAACUGGGUCUAAUACUGGAUAUGACCUUUCCUCGCAUGGGGGUUGGGUGGAAAGUUUUUUCGGCUGGGGAUGGGCCCGCGGCCUAUCAGCUUGUUGGUGGGGUGAUGGCCUACCAAGGCGACGACGGGUAGCCGGCCUGAGAGGCGACCGGCCACACUGGGACUGAGACACGGCCCAGACUCCUACGGGAGGCAGCAGUGGGGAAUAUUGCGCAAUGGGCGGAAGCCUGACGCAGCGACGCCGCGUGGGGGAUGACGGCCUCGGUUGUAA
rnacentral:rRNA from 1 species